rnacentral:rRNA from 1 species
GAUGAACGCUGGCGGCGUGCUUAACACAUGCAAGUCGAACGAAGCAUUUAAGCGGAAGUUUUCGGAUGGAAGCUUAAAUGACUGAGUGGCGGACGGGUGAGUAACGCGUGGGUAACCUGCCUUAUACAGGGGGACAACAGUUAGAAAUGACUGCUAAUACCGCAUAAGCGCACAGUAUCGCAUGAUACGGUGUGAAAAACUGAGGUGGUAUAAGAUGGACCCGCGUCUGAUUAGCUAGUUGGUGAGGUAACGGCUCACCAAGGCGACGAUCAGUAGCCGACCUGAGAGGGUGACCGGCCACAUUGGGACUGAGACACGGCCCAGACUCCUACGGGAGGCAGCAGUGGGGAAUAUUGCACAAUGGGCGAAAGCCUGAUGCAGCGACGCCGCGUGAGCGAAGAAGUAUUUCGGUAUGUAAAGCUCUAUCAGCAGGGAAGAUAAUGACGGUACCUGACUAAGAAGCCCCGGCUAACUACGUGCC